rnacentral:tRNA from 1 species
GCCCGUCUAGCUCAGUCGGUAGAGCGCAAGGCUCUUAACCUUGUGGUCGUGAGUUCGAGCCCCACGGUGGGCG